rnacentral:rRNA from 1 species
AUGCUCUCCCUCCUCCCGCCCGCGCGGCUUCGCGCCGCGCCCUCCGACGCCUCCGUCACCUCGCCGCGCCGCCCGGCCGUCAUCCUCCCAGGGCUCGGGAACAACACGGGCGACUACGCGCGGCUGGCCGCGGCGCUGCGGAACGGCCACGGCGUGCCGUCCGUCGUCGCGCGGGUCUCGCGCCCCGACUGGCUCCGCAACGCCGCCGGGCUCGCCGACCCCAGCUACUGGCGGGGCACCCUCCGCCCGCGCUCCGUCCUCGACUGGUACCUGAAACGAGUGGAGGAAGCGGUGUCCGAGGCCAGGGAGCUAUCCUCUCCAGAUGGGAAGCUAUCAUUGAUAGGGCAUUCAGCUGGGGGCUGGCUCGCGCGCGUGUACAUGGAGGAAUUGGGGACUUCUGACAUAAGUUUGCUGCUCACGCUUGGCACUCCCCACCUGCCACCUCCCAAAGGUGUUUCUGGCGUAAUUGACCAAACUAGAGGACUACUGAACUACGUCGAGAAGAAUUGUGCCCCUGCAGUUUACACACCAGAACUACGAUAUGUAUGCAUUGCUGGAAGGUACAUUCAGGGUGCUCCUUUAACUGGAAACUCAAUUGCUACUACUACUACAGAUGAGCUUGUCACAGUAGACACCCCAUCAGAAGUAGCUGAAGCAGUCAUGGUCAGUGCCGACAACAAAUCCGCUCCAACAGGCCCCACCUUCCGGGCCCGUUUCGUCGGACAAGGCUACAAACAGGUUUGCGGCAGCGCCGAAGUCUGGGGAGAUGGGGUCGUCCCCGAAGUGUCAGCGCAUCUAGAGGGCGCACUGAAUAUAAGCUUCGACGGCGUGUACCAUUCUCCUGUAGGUUCUGAUGAUGAAGAGAGGCCUUGGUACGGCUCACCGGCGAUCCUAGAGCAAUGGGUGCACCAUCUCCUCAGUUGA